rnacentral:tRNA from 1 species
GGCGACAUAGCCAAGUGGUAAGGCCCGGCUCUGCAAAAGCCGUAUUCCCCAGUUCAAAUCUGGGUGUCGCCUCCA